rnacentral:rRNA from 1 species
GACGAACGCUGGCGGCGUGCCUAAUACAUGCAAGUAGAACGCUGAAGCGAGGAGCUUGCUCUUCUUGGAUGAGUUGCGAACGGGUGAGUAACGCGUAGGUAACCUGCCUUGUAGCGGGGGAUAACUAUUGGAAACGAUAGCUAAUACCGCAUAACAAUGGAUGACACAUGUCAUUUAUUUGAAAGGGGCAAUUGCUCCACUACAAGAUGGACCUGCGUUGUAUUAGCUAGUAGGUGAGGUAACGGCUCACCUAGGCGACGAUACAUAGCCGACCUGAGAGGGUGAUCGGCCACACUGGGACUGAGACACGGCCCAGACUCCUACGGGAGGCAGCAGUAGGGAAUCUUCGGCAAUGGGGGCAACCCUGACCGAGCAACGCCGCGCGAGUGAAGAAGGUUGUCGGAUCGUAAAGCUCUGUUGUAAGUCAAGAACGAGUGUGAGAGUGGAAAGUUCACACUGUGACGGUAGCUUACCAGAAAGAGACGGCUAACUACGUG